UCUAUGGCGUUGGUUGUAGCUGGUUCCUAGGAGCAUUGUGCACGCCCGUCAUUCAUAUCUUUCCACCUGUGAACCAUUUGUAGGCCUGGAUACCCCUCGCUUUGGCAACAAAGCGGAUGCAAGGAUUGCUGCGUCGACAAGGCCGGCUCUCUUUGAAUUUCCAGGUUCUAUGUCUUUUACACACCCCAUUCGAAUGAUUUAGAAUGUAGUCAAUUGGGCUUUCAUGCCUAUAAAAAACUAUACAACUUUCAGCAACGGAUCUCUUGGCUCUCGCAUCGAUGAAGAACGCAGCGAAAUGCGAUAAGUAAUGUGAAUUGCAGAAUUCAGUGAAUCAUCGAAUCUUUGAACGCACCUUGCGCUCCUUGGUAUUCCGAGGAGCAUGCCUGUUUGAGUGUCAUUAAAUUCUCAACCUCACCAGUUUUGUAACGAGACAGGUGAAGGCUUGGAUGUGGGGGUUUUGCAGGCUGCCUCAGUGCUGGUCUGCUCCCCUGAAAUGCAUUAGCGAGCUCAUACUGAGCUUCCGUCUAUUGGUGUGAUAAUUAUCUACGCCGUGGAUUGGACUCAUGCUUGCUUCUAACCGUCCGCAAGGACAAUUUACUUGACCAAUUUGACCUCAAAUCAGGUAGGACUACCCGCUGAACUUAAGCAUAUCAAUAAGCGGAGGAAAAGAAACUAACAAGGAUUCCCCCUAGUAACUGCGAGUGAAGCGGGAAAAGCUCAAAUUUAAAAAUCUGGUGGUCUCUGGCCAUCCGAGUUGUAAUCUAGAGAAGUGUUACCCCGCGUCGGACCGUGUAUAAGUCUCCUGGGAAUGGAGCGUCAUAGAGGGUGAGAAUCCCGUCUUUGACACGGACUACCGAGGCUUUGUGGUAUGCUCUCAAAGAGUCGAGUUGUUGGG
rnacentral:rRNA from 1 species